UACGUAGGUGACAAGCGUUGUCCGGAUUUACUGGGCGUAAAGAGCGCGCAGGCGGUCGUUCAAGUCGAGUGUGAAAGCCCCGGGCUCAACCUGGGAAUGGCAUUGGAAACUGGCGAGCUUGAGUGUGGCAGAGGGGGGUGGAAUUCCGCGUGUAGCAGUGAAAUGCGUAGAGAUGCGGAGGAACACCGAUGGCGAAGGCAGCCCCCUGGGCUGACACUGACGCUCAGGCACGAAAGCGUGGGGAGCAAACAGG
rnacentral:rRNA from 1 species